CUGGCAAUGAAAAACUUCUGCAUAGCCACAGAACUGGUAUAAUUGGCAACAGCAGUACAUGCUUUCCCAUAUUGCCCCUCCACUGUGCUUCAACUCAGUUCUGGGAACACCUGCAUAGAAGUGAAAGAAUGGUGAAUUUUCCAAGCCUAUGCACAU
rnacentral:sRNA from 1 species